rnacentral:rRNA from 1 species
AACGAACGCUGGCGGCAUGCCUAACACAUGCAAGUCGAACGAGACCUUCGGGUCUAGUGGCGCACGGGUGCGUAACGCGUGGGAACCUGCCCUUAGGUUCGGAAUAACUCCCCGAAAGGGGUGCUAAUACCGGAUAAUGUCUUCGGACCAAAGAUUUAUCGCCUUUGGAUGGUCCCGCGUUGGAUUAGCUAGUUGGUAGGGUAAAAGCAUACCAAGGCGACGAUCCAUAGCUGGUCUGAGAGGAUGAUCAGCCACACUGGGACUGAGACACGGCCCAGACUCCUACGGGAGGCAGCAGUGGGGAAUAUUGGAAAAUGGGCGAAAGCCUGAACCAGCAAUGCCGCGUGAGUGAUGAAGGCCUUAGGGUUGUAAAGCUCUUUUACCCGGGAUGAUAAUGACAGUACCGGGAGAAUAAGCUCCGGCUAACUCCGUG